GCAUCGGUGGUUCAGUGGUAGAAUGCUUGCCUGCCACGCGGGCGGUUCGAUUCCCGGCCAAUGCA